AUUAAGUCAGUGGUGAAAUCUUACCGCUUAACGGUGAAAUUGCCAUUGAUACUGAUUUUCUUGAGUACAGUUGAGGUAGGCGGAAUGUGUAAUGUAGCGGUGAAAUGCUUAGAUAUUACACAGAACACCGAUUGCGAAGGCAGCUUACUAAACUGUCACUGACGCUGAGGCACGAAAGCGUGGGGAGCGAACAGGAUUAGAUACCCUGGUAGUCCACGCUGUAAACGAUGAUCACUCGUUGUUGGCGAUACACUGUCAGCGACUGAGCGAAAGCAUUAAGUGAUCCACCUGGGGAGUACGACCGCAAGGUUGAAACUCAAAGGAAUUGACGGGGGCCCGCACAAGCGGAGGAACAUGUGGUUUAAUUCGAUGAUACGCGAGGAACCUUACCUGGGCUUAAAUGCAGGACGACGUUCGCCGAAAGGUGAAUUUCCUUCGGGACGGACUGCAAGGUGCUGCAUGGUUGUCGUCAGCUCGUGCCGUGAGGUGUCGGGUUAAGUCCCAUAACGAGCGCAACCCUUAUCGUUAGUUGCCAGCGGGUAAUGCCGGGGACUCUAACGAAACUGCCGGUGUAAACCGUGAGGAAGGUGGGGAUGACGUCAAAUCAGCACGGCCCUUAUGUCCAGGGCUACACACGUGUUACAAUGGCCGGUACAAAGGGCAGCUACCUGGUGACAGGAUGCUA
rnacentral:rRNA from 1 species